AAAGGUCGGCAUCGGUGCCAGAUGACAAGAGACCCCGUCCGCUCUCCCAUAGAUAAGCCUGUAAUCGGCAGAUUAGUAGUUGGGUCGGUGACGACCAGCGAACACCGGCUGUUGUAUGUU
rnacentral:rRNA from 1 species